AUUGAACGCUGGCGGCAGGCCUAACACAUGCAAGUCGAGCGGAUGAAGGGAGCUUGCUCCUGGAUUCAGCGGCGGACGGGUGAGUAAUGCCUAGGAAUCUGCCUGGUAGUGGGGGAUAACGUCCGGAAACGGGCGCUAAUACCGCAUACGUCCUGCGGGAGCAAGUGGGGGAUCUUCGGACCUCACGCUAUCAGAUGAGCCUAGGUCGGAUUAGCUAGUUGGUGGGGUAAAGGCCUACCAAGGCGACGAUCCGUAACUGGUCUGAGAGGAUGAUCAGUCACACUGGAACUGAGACACGGUCCAGACUCCUACGGGAGGCAGCAGUGGGGAAUAUUGGACAAUGGGCGAAAGCCUGAUCCAGCCAUGCCGCGUGUGUGAAGAAGGUCUUCGGAUUGUAAAGCACUUUAAGUUGGGAGAAAGGGCAGUAAGUUAAUACCUUGCUGUUUUGACGUUACCAACAGAAUAAGCACCGGCUAACUUCGUG
rnacentral:rRNA from 1 species